GAUGAAGAACGUAGCGAAAUGCGAUAAGUAAUGUGAAUUGCAGAAUUCAGUGAAUCAUCGAAUCUUUGAACGCACAUUGCGCCCGCUAGUAUUCUGGCGGGCAUGCCUGUCCGAGCGUCAUUUCAACCAUCAAGCCCCCGGCUUGUGUUGGGGACCUGCGGCUGCCGCAGGCCCUGAAAAGCAGUGGCGGGCUCGCUGUCACACCGAGCGUAGUAGCAUACAUCUCGCUCUGGGCGUGCUGCGGGUUCCGGCCGUUAAACCACCUUCAUAACCCAAGGUUGACCUCGGAUCAGGUAGGAAGACCCGCUGAACUUAAGCAUAUCAAUAAGCGGAGGA
rnacentral:misc_RNA from 1 species